rnacentral:rRNA from 1 species
CCCUUAGAUGUCCUGGGCCCACGCGCGCUACACUGACAUGUUCAACAAGCCUCCUAGUUCGACAGGAUUUGGGAAAUCUUUGAACGCAUGUCGUGAUAGGGAUAGAUCAUUGCAAUUAUUGAUCUUGAACGAGGAAUUCCUAGUAAACGCGAGUCAUCAGCUCGCAUUGAUUACGUCCCUGCCCUUUGUACACACCGCCCGUCGCACCUACCGAUUGAAUGUUUCGGUGAAGAUUCCGGAUAGGACUUUUUUGAUUUAUUUCAAUUUUGUCUUAAAAGCUAUCUAAACCUCAACAUUUAGAGGAAGGUGAAGUCGUAACA